ACGGAAGGCAGCAGUGGGGAAUAUUGCACAAUGGGCGAAAGCCUGAUGCAGCGACGCCGCGUGAAUGAUGAAGUAUUUCGGUAUGUAAAGUUCUAUCAGCAGGGAAGAAACAUGACGGUACCUGACUAAGAAGCACCGGCUAAAUACGUGCCAGCAGCCGCGGUAAUACGUAUGGUGCAAGCGUUAUCCGGAUUUACUGGGUGUAAAGGGAGCGCAGGCGGCGCGGCAAGUCUGAUGUGAAAGCCCGGGGCUCAACCCCGGUACUGCAUUGGAAACUGUCGUGCUAGAGUGUCGGAGGGGUAAGCGGAAUUCCUAGUGUAGCGGUGAAAUGCGUAGAUAUUAGGAGGAACACCAGUGGCGAAGGCGGCUUACUGGACGAUAACUGACGAUGAGGCUCGAAAGCGUGGGGAGCAAAUAGGAUUAGAUACCCUGGUA
rnacentral:rRNA from 1 species